GGCACAUUUCAAAAAGGGUACAAUUGUUUCAUACAAGUAUAAAAAAAAGCUAAUGUUUUGUUUAAAUAUUCAUGUAAUUCACAUUUUGUUUAAAGAGCAUAGUAUUUAAAAUCAAUCCAUGCUUGAUGUGACUGCUCUACUUGUAAUGUUUCGCAAUAUGAUAUUAAAGAGAGGGUAUUAUCCAAAACGAUUUUUUUUUUUUAAAGCUUUCUAUCAUGUUAUAAUGUUGUUCUCUCAUCAAAAACAUGCUUGAAGAGGUUUUAGAUGUCAAUACAUGUUAAUCUAGUGAUCUCUCCCGGGUCCUAAUCGAACCCUCCUUACAGUAAGCUGCAAGAUUUUGUACAAGGCUCCCUUUUUCAUACCCCAUAGACAUAAAAUCCCCCCUCUUUAAAUGAAAUAUGUUCAAAUACUUAUUUGCAGCAGUAACAUACAAAUAAAGUAUUUUUAAAAAAUCAUACAAUGUGAUUUCUAGAUUUUUUUAAUUUUUUUUUUGAUUAUGUCUCUCACAGUGGACAUGCACCUAAGAUGAAAAUUUCAGACGAUUUCUAAGUGGGAGAACUUGCAAAAUCACAGGGUGUUCAAAUACUUAUUUGCCUCACUGUAUAUGGACAAUACUUGGAAUUUUCAAAACAAAUUUUUUGAAUCUUGAUCUUAAAGUUUUCCUGAUUUGUUACACCAUACUAUGAACAUACUAGAUACUAUAGACCAUAUUAAAACCCAAAGUCCUGAGCAUUGAGCAUCACACGUGGACAAAAUUGUUGGUACCCUUCGGUUAGUGAAAGAAAAACUCACAACUCAAGGUCACAGAAAUAACUUGAAUCUGACAAAAGUAAUAAUACAUACACGCUUAAAAAAAUAAACUCAUGAAACCGACCUGGAAAAAAAUGAUGGUACCCCUGAUUGAAAAUAAUGUGACCAAAGGGAUGUGUUAUUGCAAGGUGUGUCCACUAAUUAUCAUCACAGGUGUCUACAAUCUUGUAAUUAGUCAGUGGGCCUAUAUAUAGGCCUGAUGUUUGGUGACAUGGUGUCUACCACAUUCAACAUGGACCAGAGGAAGCAAAGGAAAGAGUUGUCUCGGGAGAUUGGAAAGAAAAUUAUAGACAAGCAUGUUAAAGAUAGAGGCUAUAAGACCAUCUCCAAGCAGCUUGAUGUUACUGUGACUACAGUUGCAUGUAUUAUUCAGAAAUUUAAGAUCCAUGGGACUGUAGCUGACCUCCCUGGACGUGGACACAGGAGAGAAAUUGAUGACAAAUCAAAGAGACGGAUAAUAUAAAUGGUAAUGAAAGAGCCCAGAAACUUCUAAAGAGAUUGAUGUUCUGUUGAGCUUGAAGUUCACCUUUAGUGUCACAUCGCACCAUCUGUUGUUUGAGCCAAAGUGGACUUAAUGGGAGGCGACCAAGGAGGACACCAUUGAUGAAAACAAAUCAUAAAAAAAGCCAAGGAAUUUGCCAAGCUACAUGUUGACAAGCCACAAAGCUUCUGGGAGAAUGUCCUACUGAGACAAAAACGGAACUUUUUGCCAAAGCACAUCAGCUCUAUAUUCAGAGGGGAAAAAUGAAGCAUAUCAAGAAAAGAAGACUGUUCCUACUGUGAAACAUGGAGGAGGCUCUGUUAUGUUCUGGGGCUGCUUUGCUGCAUCUGCCACAGGGUGUCUUGAAUCUGUGCAGGGUACAAUGAAAUCUCAAGACUAUUAAGGAAUUCUAGAGAGAAAUGUGCUGGCCAGUGUCAGAAAGCUUGGUCUCAGUCACAGGUCGUGGGUCUUGCAAGAGGACAAUGACCCAAAACACACAGCUAAAAACACGCAAAAAAGACUAAGACUAUUCUAUUCUAGUGGCCUUCUAUGAGCCCUGACCUAAAUCCUAUUGAGCAUCUUUUGAAGGAGCUGAAACGUGCUGUCUGGAAAAGCCACCCUUCAAACCUGAGACAACCAGAGCAGUUUGCUCAUGAGGAGUUGGCCAAAAUACCUACUGAAAGGUGCAGAAGUCUCAUUGACAGUUACAGGACUCAUUUGAUUGCAGUGAUUGCCUCAAAAGAUUGUGCAACAAAAUAAUAUUUUUGUCCUGUUUCAUGAGUUUUUUUAAAUUUAUUAUUACUUUUGUCAGAUUCAAGGUAUUUCUGUAACCUGUUGUAGUUCAGCUAAGUCAAUGAUUUAUGGUCAGACUAUGUUAAAACAAAGAUCAGGUUAAAGUCUAAUUUGAGUGACAGAGCUUCAGACAAAGUAGUGCAGCUGGUCAUCCACCUUCCCUGGGAGGUGAUGCUUACUGUAGGCAAAGUAUCAAGAGAUCAUUUUUAGGGGUUGAAAUGUUUUAUUAUUUGUAAUUUUCUUUGUUCUGCUGGGGAACCUUUUGAUUUUUUUCUGUUCUGUUUGAGCUCCAGAUUUAAACUCAUCUGAAAUAAUCCAUUACAGAUACCAACUAACUAUGAAAGUGUUUCAUUCUGAUAUUUCUUUUUUUAAAUAUAUAUUGUAAAUUAAGAAUGGGUUUUGUUUUUUUUUUUGUUUUUUUUUUGGAUAAUCCAUUUUAAAGGUUGGCCUGGAUUCAGAACACACAUUUCGCCAAUGCUUUACGAAGAUGUGAGUCUGGUCACUGGUGAACCUCCCUGUUUUCAAAUGGGUGUGAUUGACAGGUGGAUUAGCCAAUCAGGGAGAGGUAUCAGAAAUUGUAAAGGAAAAAAAAUCAAAUGGGGCUGAAAACAUGGCGGUUUUCUGCAGAAUCAUUGAGUGAAGCCUAAAGUCUGUUAAUCUGAGGUGAGAGACAUUUGAUUUUAUUUGAAAGUCAUAAUUCCUUCAUUUCACAUGUGUUACUGAAACAAACAGAUCUGAUUGGACGAUCACAUUUGACCGGGUUUGAUACCAAACAGAGGACGUAGGGACGAGACUGAUAUCGAUCUGUAUAAAAAAAUUCAAAGAGGUAUUUUUUUUGGAUUUGCCUGGCAAAGUGGGCCUUCACAACUAAAAGGGAGAAUAAGGAGGAGGAGGGGCGUGGUUUAGGGCAGUGGUCCCCAACCAUCGGGCCGUGGACCGGUACCGGUCCAUGGAUCAAUUGGUACUGGGCCACCGGACAUCCAAGAAAUAAUUAAUUAUUUCCGUUGUAUUUAUUACCUGAGUCUGAACAAUCGUUUAUUUUGAAAAAUCUUUUAUUUUGAAAAAUGACCGUCUCUCAGUUACAUUUCCGUCACUUGAGUGGCCACAAAUUAGCAAAAUGAGUAAAAAACAGACGUCUUUGGAAAGUUUCUUUUCGAAGGGGAAAAGGCCCAGUGAAGAGACAGAAAAAGAGCCAACUUCCAAGUAAAAGAAAGCUUUUAACAGACAAUACCGGGGGGGGCGGUUAGUGAGACGGGUAGAGGGGCGAGGUCUGGACAUUACAGAGUAGGUACAGUGUGAUUGGUCUAACUGCAGCUAAGUGUUUGUUAUCAAAAACACUUGGCUCUAAUUAGGGCUGUACUGUGUGAUGUUAAGAUAGUACAUUAUCUUGCAGUGGCCACUGGAGGCAGCACAUAUGGUUGGUUUUUGAAGAGAAACCUGCAAAUUUAGCCAGUAUGCCUUUCACUAUUAUCGUUUAUCGUUUGUUUCCCUCAGCAAUAGUUCACCCUUAAGAAUGACAGGCCUUGAUGCUCUGGUGCUGUGUGUGCAACAGUUGGCAGAGGUUUGCAGAGGCGGGCGUGCGUGGGCACAUUCACAUUGUGGCGUCCCCUCUUCUUCUGCUGAGCAAAAUGAGGGGAGCACUCGAGCCAAGCGUCUGUCAUCUCCAUCUGGAGUUAGAAACCUGGAACACACACACAGCAUUACACAGUGAUAUACAG
ensembl:lncRNA